UCAAAGCACUGAUCUUCAGCAGCUGGAUUCCAGGCCUAACAAGAAUAUGAACAGCUUUAUUACCACCCUGAUCUGUGGCUUACAAAGCUAGUCAAGACCUGUUAAAUCCUAUCAGACUCAUUCAAAGCAAUAUUUUUUGUGUCCAUUUGUACCAACACAAGCUAAUAAACAGUCUCCAAAAUAACUACAUACCAAAUACUAUUAUAAUAAAAAAGAUUGUGAAACUAAAACAAUGUUAAAAGUCAGUUUAGUGGUGUUAGCUUUGGGGAGGAGGGAGGAGGUAAAUGAUUGGAAGGGGACACAGGGAGACCAGAGUAGUAGUUAAAUGAAUGUGUUUACUUCAUAAUUCACUCAACUGCACAAUCAUGACUUAGGCAUUUUUUCCUACAAGUAUACCAAUAAAAAUGUUUUAAAAAAAACUCUACCUCAGCUGAAGAACUGCUUAAAGGAUUACUCCACUUCAAAAAUUCUACCAUAUCUAAGAAUCUAGACCUACCUUAUCCAAUAGCCAAAAAACACAUGUGGCAAGCCCCUGAAAUGCAGCAAAGGCAAACUGAGAUGUGCUGUAACUGUACAAUACCACACUCUGAACACUUAAAGUAAAAAAAUCAUGUAAAAAUCUCAAUUUUAGAUAUACUGGAUAAACAAAAAUGUCACUGACUUCACCUAUUUCUACUAGAAAGUUUAAAAUUACCUUUGUGUCUCACAUUACUGAUCCAUUUAUUGGAUAGCAAUGAUCUUAACAGUAGAACUAGGAUAUUAACUGUGAACAUGCCUCCAAAUGUGUGGUGUCUUUUUAUGUUUAAAAGGAAUUAUAAGAAACAGAUUACCUAUAAAAUACUGACAUAAUUAACCAUAAAAGGUGCACUAGUAAGUCUAAGUAAAUCCAACUCUCUACAAUCUGUUGGACUUUGGUUUUCAUUACACUCAAGACUGACUAGUGCACCAUUCCAUCAAACACUGACUCUAUACCUAGCAUAAACUAACCUGCUCGUUCUGAAUGACUUGGCAAAUACAGGGCUUACAAAAGACAUGUGCACAAUGUGUUAUGACAGGAACCGUUAAAGAAUCCAAGCAAAUUGCACAUUCUUCAUCAGAACCUGAGCUCAGAAUUAACUUCAUCUUCCUUAUUAACUUCUUUCGUAGUUCUUCAGGUGUAUCAUUUCCUAGAGAAAAGGCUGAAAAAUUAAUUUCACAGCAAGAUUUGUAAUAUGACUAGACAAGUUAAUCUUCCUUAUAUGGGGAAAAGUUUUGCUCGGGUAGUCCUUAUUUAGGUUUUUUCUAUCAUAGGCAAAAAGCAUGGUUUAAAUU